rfam:Nasonia vitripennis unplaced genomic scaffold ChrTn_0365, whole genome shotgun sequence.
CCAUCGGCCCUUUUGAGGGCCAAAAAAACAUCCAUACGUAUAGAA